rnacentral:lncRNA from 1 species
UUGCAUAGUCAUAAAUUAUGUAUAAUAUACAUCUAGAAAAUAAUAACAAUUUACGGCAGUAAUAAAUUAAAAUAUCUUUGUUUACAUAUUACUUUAAUCUCCUCUACACAAAACACUGCCGAUAUGCUAUCAUCAAUCUUCACAUUCCCUAAUAAGGUAAGAUGUUCUAGCCUUUUUUUUUAUUACCUUAUAUCCAUGAUAAACCAAAAAAUAUCACCCACAAAACUCAAUAACAUUGCAACUUUCCAUGGUUAACUGAAAGUAAAAUGAUAAAAUAUUUACUUUAGUAUUUCCAUGGUCUGAUUUUUAAAAUCUAUUUGUACAGCCUGGUUGUCCCUAACUUUCUUAUGAAUAAUCCACUAAAACGAACUUCAAGCUGAGUCAUACAAAAAGAAUAGAAGAAUGACAUUGAGAAGAUAAAUUUGAAUUGGAAUAAAAAUAUUCAUAAUGCUAUCUAUUUGUUGCUAACACAAAACCCAAAAAAAAUUGAAGAGAUGAAACGAUUGAGAAUAAAGAAGAGAGUGCAAAUAGGAAAGAAUUGAAAAUUAUAUAGAAAAUGUAACAGUUUGAAAUCGUGCAUAAAAUUAGAGAUUAGAGAAAAUUUAGGGAAUCAAGUUAUUAAGUUCAAGAAAUUAGAGAUCGUGUGUUCAUUUUCUUUAGAGACAGUUUGUUUAUUUUUAAGACUGUUUUAUUUUGCGAUAGAUUCAGAUUUUUUUUUAUGUUGAUAACUAUCAAAUUCUAUGAUUUUAAUGUCGAUGAUUUACCCCUUCAGCCACCUCUGACGUUAUAGUGAUGAUUCAUCAAAUCUUGAGUUGAGCGGAAUUGCAAGUCUUUGUCAUCUUCUUUCAUAUUUGUUCUCUCCAUCUAUAGCAAAAAUGUAAAAGAAUCUUUUAAAACAUAAUUGACAAAAGCAUAGAAAACUGAUAUCUAUAAAUUAAUAAGCAAUAGGUUACGUAGUAGUGAUUAUGGUUGCACAAUGCAUAUGGAUAAUAAAUAUAAACGUAAACGUUAUAUUAUUGUUGCACGACUAUGAAACACUUACUUCUUCCUUUUGAUAACGUGAUGUA